AUUGAACGCUAGCGGGAUGCUUUACACAUGCAAGUCGAACGGCAGCGCGGACUUCGGUCUGGCGGCGAGUGGCGAACGGGUGAGUAAUGUAUCGGAACGUGCCCAGUAGCGGGGGAUAACUACGCGAAAGCGUAGCUAAUACCGCAUACGCCCUACGGGGGAAAGCAGGGGAUCGUAAGACCUUGCACUAUUGGAGCGGCCGAUAUCGGAUUAGCUAGUUGGUGAGGUAACGGCUCACCAAGGCGACGAUCCGUAGCUGGUUUGAGAGGACGACCAGCCACACUGGGACUGAGACACGGCCCAGACUCCUACGGGAGGCAGCAGUGGGGAAUUGUGGACAAUGGGGGCAACCCUGAUCCAGCCAUCCCGCGUGUGCGAUGAAGGCCUUCGGGUUGUAAAGCACUUUUGGCAGGAAAGAAACGUCGCGGGCUAAUACCCCGUGGAACUGACGGUACCUGCAGAAUAAGCACCGGCUAACUACGUG
rnacentral:rRNA from 1 species